rnacentral:rRNA from 1 species
UACGGGGGGGGCAAGCGUUGUUCGGAAUUACUGGGCGUAAAGGGCUCGUAGGCGGCCAACUAAGUCAAACGUGAAAUCCCUCGGCUUAACCGGGGAACUGCGUGUGAUACUGGAUGGCUUGGAUUUGGGAGAGGGAUGCGGAAUUCCAGGUGUAGCGGUGAAAUGCGUAGAUAUCUGGAGGAACACCGGUGGCGAAGGCGGCAUCCUGGACCAAUAUUGACGCUGAGGAGCGAAAGCCAGGGGAGCAAACGGG